CUGGCUUUUUGGCUGAUGUGUGUAUAUAUAUAUAUUUCUAAUAUUAAGGAAGUGUUGGGGUUGUCUCACAUGUAUCAGUGGAAUUUUAAUUUAUAGAGGUGACUGAGGGAAAACAUGGAGUGAUCAAUGCCAUUGAAAUAAUUAUUUAUGUUAUCUGGUUUUUGAAGGCUUGUACUGGUGCUUUUUGGUAAGAUUAACUCUGAUAACUAUUUCAUCUUUGGAUUUUUGUUUUGUUUAAACUUUUUAUUUCUACCGAGUCAAGUUUAAGAAAUUUUUCUAUUCUAUAUAUUUGGUGUAUUUUUCUAGAAAAAAGUUGCACAAGUUUUUGUGUAUUUGUUGGCACUCUUCCUUUCUUUUGCUUCAUUUUCUAAUCCCUUGAGUUCCAUGUUUAUUUCAUUUGAUUUUCUUCUUUUGUUUGUAUUGAUAUAAGCAUUAAAGCAUCUCAGUUUUCAUCAGAUUGCUAUUUUAGUUGCAUUCCUUAGCUUCUGACUUGUAAUGCUUUCAUUAAUUAUUUUUAGAUAUUCUGUGAUUUUAUUAGUAUUUGCCCUCUGACCCAAGUUAUUUACUUUUUUACUUUUUUAAAAAAUAGCAGAUAGAAUGGAUUUCUUGUUUUUGGUUAAUUCUCAUUUUAUUGCAUUGCAAUUGUAUAAUUUUGUCUGUAUUUUUUCAUUAUGGUUUUUACUAUGGUUUUCUUCAUGACUUAAUACACAUAUAUGGUAAUUUUUGUGACUAUUCCAUGUAUAAUUAAAAAGAAGCUAUUCUCUCUGAAUGCAGAGUUCAUCUUCUAGCAAUAAGGUAAACUUUAUUAUGUUUUUUAGGGCUUCUGUAACCUUUUCAUUCUCUUGAUUGAAAGUGGAAAGUCCCUGUUGUUGGUGUUUGUCUGUUUCUCCAUACAUCUCAUGGAAUUUCUUCUUUGUAAAGAUGGCUGCUAUGAUAAGUGAUACAUAACUAUUUAUAAUAGUUAUAUCUUCACUGGGAAUUGAAGUGAAUUGAAUGCCUUUAGCAUUUUAAAGUACCCGCUUUUUUUUUUAA
rnacentral:lncRNA from 10 species